AGCAGCCGCGGUAAUUCCAGCUCCAAUAGCGUAUAUGUAAGUUGUUGCGAUUAAAAAGCCCGUAGCUGAAUCUCGGACAUCCCUGACGGUCCGCCAAUGUGUGAGUACUGUCGUGGGGUGUCUUUCUGGUAAGACCGUAUCCCUGUGUUAAUUCACCGGGAACGGCGCUUACCAAGGUUACUUUGAGUAAAAUAGAGUGUUCAAAGCAAGCACGCGCUCUGAAUACACUAGCAUGGGAUAACACGACAUGACCGAUGGUCUAUCUUGUUGGCCUGUAGACCUGUUGGUAAUGGCUAAUAGGGACGGUCGGGGGCAUUCGUAUUUCGCUGUCAGAGGUGAAAUUCUUGGAUUUGCGAAAGACGAACUACUGCGAAAGCAUUUGCCAAGGACGCUUUCAUUAGUCAAGGACGAAAGUCGGGGGAUCGAAGACGAUUAGAUACCGUCGUAGUCUCGACCAUAAACGAUGCCAAUUAGGGAUUGGAGGGCGGAUACCAGAAUGCCUCCUCCAGCACCUUCCGCGAAAGCAAAAUUUAUGGGCUUCGGGGGGAGUAUGGUCGCAAGGCUGAAACUUAAAGGAAUUGACGGAACGGCACCACCAGGCGUGGAGCCUGCGGCUUAAUUUGACUCAACACG
rnacentral:rRNA from 1 species